UAAAACUUUCAACAACGGAUCUCUUGGUUCCGGCAUCGAUGAAGAACGCAGCGAAAUGCGACAAGUAAUGUGAAUUGCAGAAUUCAGUGAAUCAUCGAAUCUUUGAACGCACAUUGCGCCCUUUGGUAUUCCGAAGGGCAUGCCUGUCCGAGCGUCAU
rnacentral:rRNA from 1 species